GAUGAACGCUGGCGGCGUGCUUAACACAUGCAAGUCGAACGAACAGACGCUGCUUUUGUUGCUUUCUCGUGUGCCGCACGCGUGUGUGACACAUGAGUAACCUGCCCUUAUCUUUGGGAUAACUUCUGGAAACUGGGGAUAAUACCCGAUAGGAGCUCCUGCUGCGCGGGGGUGGUUGGUAAGUUUCGGCGGUGGGGGAUGGAAUCGCGGCUUAUCAGCUUCUUGGGGGGGUAGUGGUUUACCAAGGCUUUGAAGGGUAGCCGGCCUGGGAGGGUGACCGGGGUCAUGGGUACUGCGAGACGGAGCAGAAUCCAACGGGCGGCAGUAGGGGGGAAUAUUGCACAACGGGGGGAAGCCUGAUGCAGCAACGCCGGGUGCGUGAUGACGGCCUUCGGGUGGUAAACCGCUUUCGACUGUGACGAAGCGUGAGUGACGGUAAUGGGUAAAGAAGCACCGGCUAACUACGUG
rnacentral:rRNA from 1 species